UUGUUCCCUUAUUGUAAGUUGCUUUGGAGAAAAGCGUCUGCUAAAUGACUAAAU
rfam:Larimichthys crocea isolate SSNF unplaced genomic scaffold scaffold126, whole genome shotgun sequence.